GGGUCAUGUACAGUGAGAGGAAGCAUAGGGAACAUACCACACCUCCAGAUUGGAAACCUCUUAUGAUGGUCUGUUUAUUUGAAUGCUAACAUGCUGGAAAUACUGUGUUGCGUGGAGUCUUGAGAUGAAAAGGCCCAGUCUGUGACCCAGCCCCUUGACCGGCGCACACGGUAGAGCUGGAUUCUAUCAGAGCCAAACAGUGGUUCAGAUGCUUCUUUCUCUCUAACUCCUGUAGAACGGGCAGAAGAGGAGCGGUAGCUGGCACCCUCUCACACAGGUAUCCUGUUGCUGAGGGCGGGGUCAUGGCUCUCUGUGACAGCUCACCACGACGUGCUCUCUGGAUCAGAGGAGGGCGCCACGUGACACCGCCCUCCCUCACCUCUACUGACCUUCACCCCAACGUACCCGUUCAGGGUAUGUCUGAGUGCAACAUCCUCUCUGAACCCCCACUCAUGUAGCCACGAUCAAUGUCAUAUGCAGCCAAUCGUUUCUUCACUGCAUGUUUACUGUACAUCCUGGAGCCCACCCAUAAGCCUAAUCAUCUAU